ensembl:lncRNA
UUCCUCAGAGUACGCUGGUAGCUGUGGAUCUCCAGCCACACUGUGGGAGUGUGGGUUCAUAUCCUGCUAUUGCUAGGCAGAUGACAUCACUCUUCUUUUCCAUAAAGAGUUGUUCCAUCUGUGCUGCUUGCUGAGCAAAACACACGUAUGUGGGGCCUGCAGAUGAAAUAUGCCUGCGAUGUGGGCCCAGGCCAAUUUCGUCUCUUAAAGGAAACAGCAACGCUAUUUAAGUGGUACCAAUAAAAUAACAUUUUAUCUUCCGAAUUUAAAAACAAUUCCCAAGCCUGCAUGGAAUCAACCCUUUCAAAUAGUUCAGGAAUCUGUUGUUAUGUCCUCUGAACAUAAUAGUUUCAUGUUUGGGAGUUGCUAGAUCUAACAGAAAAUAAUAGGGACUUUUCUAAUUGCUUGUAACCGGCUAGGCACUUAACAUUUAAUUCUCAUCAUAAGCCUUUUCUAACAAUGACAUGCUUCCCAUUUUAGGAGUGAUAAAAAUUAAAACGGAGGCUCAGAGAGGUUCAAUGAACUGUUUAGAGUAUUAAUACUGGAGCCUGAGCUUUCAUCUCUGGAAAUCUAAUCGUGAACCUGGAGUUCAUUCCACCCCUGCUCAUCAGAAAACAAUUAAUAGGUGAAAGGCAAAUGAGUAUUUUUGAUAACACAUUUUUUUAAAUAGGAUGACUUGCCAAAUCUCUUCUCUCUGGAAUGCUUCACAAUCUGCUCCUUCGAUUUUUUUUUUUUCCUUCUUGAAGGCAGGCUGGAGUAAUAGAAACACGCUCUUGGAGGGCUUUGAAGCACAAUAGUAUAUAAAGAUGUGACAGUGACUGCUAUCCUGAAAGCACAAACUAAAUCUCUAGCAGGGUUUGAUCAUCUCUGAGUCUAAGCUGGGAGAUAAGAGAUUUGUGACACUGGCAAUGCCGUUAAUUCUGGGACAGGGGUACUAAUACAUUUCCUUGUUCUGUCUGCCUUAAGGCUUUGUCCAAGAUACUCAGUGAAAAGAACCUCUUCUCUUUCAUAUUUUUGGGGAACUCCAAUUGAUCUCAGCAGCACCCAUCUCUCCUCCCCUACCUUUCUACAUCUUCCUAGGUGGCAAAUGGAUGAAAGGAUUGACUUCUUGGCCCUUUAGCAGCGGAAUAACAAUUGUUUCCCAUCUCUUCUUUUCUUCCCAACUCCUCCCCUUUCCCCAUCCUGGGAAGUUAAGUUUCUUCCACUGAGGUCUUCCCCUAUAAUCCCAGAGGCCUCUUCUUUUCAGUCCAUCUACAGUCAUUAACAAAUUGAGAAUUUCUCCAGAGCUUAAAGUUUGACUCUCUGGAGCUGGGAACAGAUAGUGCGAAUGAUAAAAACAAAACAAAACAGCCUCCCCGCCCACCCAAACAGCUGUCACCAAUCACACUCUCCAAUCCUCAGGGGGAUCCGUUGAGCUUACUAGAGUGAAGGAUCAAUCUCGAGUUGCCCUGGCAACAGUAAUCAGCUUUGAGAACAUCCUCCUGGGCUGUUUGGAUGCACGGAAAGGAAAAAGCAGGAUGGGGAGCAAAGGUUUGUUCUCCCCAUGUUUUGAGAAGUCCCUGCACAGCAGUUCACUGUGUUCAACAUGAGGAGUACUUGUGGAUCUCACAGCAUGAAAAGCGUCUGCUGUGAUGAGAUUGAUUUCACUUAAGAGGCCCUUGAAAUACACAUGCACACCCUAAAGUUUUCAAGGACGUUUAUCAGGAGCCAAAUUUCCAUGGGGAGUUGGAAAUCAAUUCUUCAACAGCAAACUCCAACCCUGUCAGUUGCUCAGAUCCGCAUCCCUCAUUCUAGGUUGGAAAAUGAAAGAAUCUCCUGAAAUCCACAUUGGGAGAGUAAGAUGUGGUUGUCAGUGAAGACAAGAAGGCAGGGUUGUCCACCCCCAUCCCACACACCCUCAUUGAUUCCAGCUUUAGCUCUGUGCAAGUUUAUUUUUUAAAAUGUGGAUGCUCCAUUUUCAGAGAGUGAUCUAAAAAUACACUCCUGCAUGCCUGUGGCUGUGAUGUGUAUAUAAAUCCAAAACCUCAGAAUAGAGUGGAUUACACUGAGAAGCAGAUAGACCAAAAAGCAGAACAGGAUGAUUCCUUCUACCUUCUGUGUCAGGAGGCGGCACUCAUGGCAUUAAGCACAUCAAAUGUUGUCAGAGUUGAUUUCAUGAAUAGGUUUCUGUGAGAAGUAACUUAAAGGACACGGAAGAAGACUGUUUUCCAGGUGUGAUCCCAUAUUGCCAUUCUUCUCUGCCCAAAAUGACAUUUUUGAUAAAACUAAAAUUGUAAGAAUAAAAGCAAACAUUGAUUAAGGGUGUUCCAUGUAAGAAUAAAAGCAAACAGUAAGAGUGUUCUAUGUACUGGUGUGAUCAGACCCCCUGCCCGGAGGUGGCUCUUCUCUCUCUCAGUCUCUGUACAUCCCCUGCUGGAUCAGUGCUUGCUUCACCUACACCUUACUCACACCACUGACUUUCCUAUAUACUUGCCCCCACCCCAGUUAGUGAUUGUUCUAACCCUUAGAUCAGAACAUCUCCACCUGAUUGCUGAUCAAAUGGGUAGUGAGAGCGUGCCCCUCGGCCAGUUUCCCUGGUAACCAAUGAGCCAACCAAUGUCAAUUCCCCCUCUAACUGGUAACCUCCCCCUCCCUCCAGGAGCUGCCCUGUCCCGCCUGCUGCCUGCCUGGUACGGUAGACUGUUGUUGUUUUGUGGCUGGAGUGGGAGCUGUCAUGUCCCGGGGCCUGCAGGCGUCCUUAACAUGGACUCACCGCCAAGUGAGGGUUCUUGGCUUCUCGACAGGGGGAAAGAAUUCAAGAGCCAGCCAAGGAAAAGCAAAGAAUCAGGAAUCAUCCCAGGAGAAUGAAAAUAUGGAGAUCUUUUAGCCUACAACCUCAUGUGGCAAAAAGCCUGUUAUUGCUGCAGGUACUAAAGAAGAACGAAAUGAUCUCAAGCUAGGUCAUAAAAGAGAGAAAUCUAGGAGAUGGAGAACCUGGAGCAUUUAGCUUUUAUUGACACAUGGCUCAGCUUUUCAAUUGUAUCAAAUUCAAAGCAAUAAACACUCAUCCGGUGUCCAUCUCCCCAAGGUGCUCCAGGAGGCAUGGAGAGGCGGAGAGGAAAAAACACAGCAGGAAAGCCUCCAUAUACAUGUGGCCAUGCUUUGGGGAGAAAACCCAAGUGCACGUUGGUUAGGGCUAUAAGAUAGGAAUGUACAGUGUGCUGUGGGAACACAUACAGAAGCAUUUUAUUCUGCCUGGAGGGUGCCUGGGAAGCUUGGCGCCGAAUGACCGGACUGUCCCUGGCAAUAUGGAUUAAUAAGGCGCUAACUUUCAACCUUUUCUAAUUGAGACUUACAGUUCAAAAUUAUUUUAUAUGCCUAUUCUAAACACACAAACCCAUGCACAUGUACUUAAGUGUUACAAAAUAAUACUCUGUGAGGCACCCUUGUGUUUUGUUUUUUUUCCUUUCAUUCUGUUUUUAUUAUUGUAGAUGCUGGUUGAAACCCAUUUAACUGAGCAACCUUGAUCAAUUAAUGAAUUGGGAUCUCAACUUACAAAAUUCUGGAAUAAAGCAUGGUCUUUGAAGUGACACAAAACUGUUUUUAAAUCUCAGCAUGUGCUGUGUUGUGCUUAGUCACUCAGUCAUAUCCAACUCUGUGACCCCAUGGAUUUGGGCAGUUUGUUUAACUUUUAUGAAUUUGAGAUUCCGUGCCUAUAGAAAAAUCAUAUGUGGCUACUCUCUACCAGACCAGAAUUAAAGGAAAUAAUACUUGUAAACAGCUUAUUGUAGUAGGGAGAAUCAGGGAGGUGGGCAUGCUAGGCACACUGAUUGGUUUGGUAGAGUUGUCCCACCAUGCAUGACAAGAUCAAUCUGAUGAGUGAUAUGCCUGAAAGUUUACAGAAUACAAGGCAGAAGGGGAAAAUAAACAGCUUACCAAGGGCUUCCCUGAUGGCUCCGAUGGUAAAGACUCUGCCUGUGAAGCAGGACACCCGUGUUCUAUCCCCAGUUGGGAAAUUUCCCUGGAGAAGAAAAUUUUAACGCACUCCAGUAUUCUUGCCUGGAAAAUUCCAAGGACAGAGGAGCCUGGCAGCUAUAUAGUCCAUGGGGUUGCAAAGAGUCGGAUACAACUGACUAACCAACACAAGGGUCUGCACCCAGAUCACAUGUGUGUCUGCAUGUGAAUCAGUGAGUAUAUGUGUACAUGUUUGUUCAUGUGUAUGCAUGUGACUUUGUGGGGAGUGUGUGUGUGUGUGUGUGCGCGCGUGCUUUCACACCUGAGUGGAGACUGGGGAGGCUAGUGUCAGUAUACAGACUAAAUUCGAGUCUCCUUUAUUCGAUAACCUCUUAACCAGUCCCAGUGAGCUUUGGUUAAACCAACAAGCCCAAAUCUUUCCUGGAAUCUUCCUCUUAACAACAGACCACAGUCUUUCAAUGACCUUGACAGUGUCACCUCCACUUUCUGAGCUUAAUCUUCCUUACAUAUAUAC